rnacentral:rRNA from 1 species
GACAGAAARMCCCUAUGAAGCUUUACUGUAGCUUGGAGCUGAUUUCGGGUUUAUUUUGCGCAGUAUAGGUGGGAGGCUAAGAAUUUAUGUUUGCGGAUGUAAAUGAGCCAAAAGUGAGAUACCACUCUGAUUAAACUAGAAUUCUAAUCUUGAUGCCGUUAUCCGGCCAAGAAACAUUUUCAGGUAGGCAGUUUGACUGGGGCGGUCGCCUCCUAAAAGGUAACGGAGGCGUGCAAAGGUUUCCUCAGGCUGGUCGGAAAUCAGUCGUAGAGUAUAAAGGUAUAAGGAAGCUUGACUGUGAGACUUACAAGUCGAACAGAGACGAAAGUCGGCCUUAGUGAUCCGACAGUUCUGAGUGGAAAGGCUGUCGCUCAACGGAUAAAAGUUACUCUAGGGAUAAHARGCUGA